UACGGGGGGGGCAAGCGUUGUUCGGAAUUACUGGGCGUAAAGCGCGCGCAGGCGGCGAUCUACGUCUGGGGUGAAAGCCCGGAGCUCAACUCCGGGACUGCCUUGGAUACGGGAUCGCUUGAGGAUUGGAGAGGCAAGGGGAAUUCCACGUGUAGCGGUGAAAUGCGUAGAUAUCUGGAGGAACACCGGUGGCGAAGGCGGCAUCCUGGACCGACACUGACACUGAGGAGCGAAAGCCAGGGGAGCAAACGGG
rnacentral:rRNA from 1 species